UCUCUUUUGUUCUGGAACGGGCCGAGCCCCAGGAAGUGGAGCUGCGGAGCUGAGGCCUCACCGUGUCUUGGCCCACCCUGCUCAGCUGAUAGGAAGGUGUGUCACCUCUUUCCUAAUCGGGGAAAGAAAGGUAUUGUCACUUCUCAGAAUUGGAGAGCGCGGCAAGGAGUGCACAGGGCCAGGUGUCUUCUCGCUCCCACAGCCAAGCAGCAGAUGCAGAGUCCCACGCGCUGCCUGUGGCCAUCAAGUCGAUAUAGAGCCUCGUGGCGGCUUGGCCCUUGUGAAUCUUCCACGUAUCGAUGGCGCACCUACCUUGUGCCAGGCGCAGCGGAUCCCACAAUGUAAAAGAAGAGGAAAUACACUGCGACAUGUGAUAUGGAGAGACAUGAAACAAAUCAGCAGAGGCAAGAUCAUGGAGUCACUGAAGGCUUUCAAGCAAGGGAUUAUUAGCAGCCCAAUUUGCUGGGUUUUAGAAAGACACCGGCUGCACUGUGGCCGACAGAGGAAAAGCCAGAGACAGGGAGAUCCGCCCCCUAAAUGGGAGAGGGUGGCCUGAACUAGAGUAACCGCAGGGAGGGUGGAGCGCUGAUCAUUUCAAGGAUCUUCAGGAACUGAAAUGAUCAGAACUUGGGAAUGACUGCAUGUGCGAAUAAGGGGGAAAAGUCAAGGAAAUGCCCAGGUUUGGGGCCCAAGGAACAGGUUUGGGAGGCCGAGGUGAGGAGUUCAGCUUUGGACAUAAUGAGUUUGAGAUGCCCACAGGACAUCCAAAUACAAAUGUUAAAGGGGUAACUGAA
rnacentral:lncRNA from 1 species